AAAUGACUGCUAAUACCGGAUGAUGUCUUCGGACCAAAGAUUUAUCGGCAAAGGAUGAGCCCGCGUAGGAUUAGGUAGUUGGUGGGGUAAAGGCCUACCAAGCCGACGAUCCUUAGCUGGUCUGAGAGGAUGAUCAGCCACACUGGGACUGAGACACGGCCCAGACUCCUACGGGAGGCAGCAGAGGGGAAUAUUGGACAAUGGGCGAAAGCCUGAUCCAGCAAUGCCGCGUGAGUGAUGAAGGCCUUCGGGUCGUAAAGCUCUUUUACCAGGGAUGAUAAUGACAGUACCUGGAGAAUAAGCUCCGGCUAACUCCGUG
rnacentral:rRNA from 1 species